UGAACUGUUUGAGGAAGGAGGAGAGGAAGAAGGUGGUGAAGAAGAGGAUGACAGACCAGAAGAGGACGUCGGGGACAUAUGGACCGUGGGGGCUGCAGGCCGAACCCAAGAACUUUCCUUUUAAAUCCAGACAGUCCUGAAGACGAUUGAAAACCCGGAUCCUGAUCUGUGCUCGAUGUGUUCUCUACAUAUCUCCUUCCACACGGAAAUUCCCUCCGUGCUGUUCACACCUUCACACUCAGCUGCUCCCACUCGAUGCUUUCUGACGUCAAGUUUCUGCUGCUCCAGAUCUGUUGGACUUCAGCCGAGGCAUUGGCAGGCGGAGAACACUGACACCUGAAAUAGAGCAACAACAGACCUCCCCGAGGUGUGCCAGCUUCUCCAGAGCCUCGUAGAUAAAGAUGAUGCAGAUGAGGGCAGCAAAGGCCUCCUCAGUGAAGCGGGUGAUGUAGCAGACCAGAGAGCUGGCGUCCGUGGCGACCAGCAGCAGGCAGA